ACGGAAGGCAGCAGUGGGGAAUAUUGCACAAUGGGCGCAAGCCUGAUGCAGCGAUGCCGCGUGAGGGAAGAAGGUUUUCGGAUUGUAAACCUCUGUCAACAGGGACGAUAAUGACUGUACCUGUGAAGGAAGCUCCGGCUAACUACGUGCCAGCAGCCGCGGUAAUACGUAGGGAGCAAGCGUUAUCCGGAAUUACUGGGUGUAAAGGGAGUGUAGGCGGGACUGUAAGUCAGGUGUGAAAUCUAUGGGCUUAACCCAUAGACUGCACUUGAAACUGUAUUUCUUGAGUGCUGGAGAGGUAGAUGGAAUUCCUUGUGUAGCGGUGAAAUGCGUAGAUAUAAGGAAGAACACCAGUGGCGAAGGCGAUCUACUGGACAGUAACUGACGCUGAGGCGCGAAAGCGUGGGGAGCAAACAGGAUUAGAUACCCUGGUA
rnacentral:rRNA from 1 species